CAAGUCGAGUGCGCGUGCCGUAGCAAUACGGCAUGGCGCACGGCGCACGGGUGCGUAACACGUGGGCAAUCUGCCCUUCGAUGGGGAAUAACUCCGGGAAACCGGAGCUAAUUCCGCAUAACAUUCCUUGGACUUCGGUUCGAGGACUCAAAGCCGUAAGGCGUCGAAGGAGGAGCCCGCGCCCGAUUAGCUAGUUGGUAGGGUAACGGCCUACCAAGGCUUUGAUCGGUAGCUGGUCUGAGAGGAUGGCCAGCCACACUGGAACUGAGACACGGUCCAGACUCCUACGGGAGGCAGCAGUGGGGAAUCUUGCGCAAUGGGCGAAAGCCUGACGCAGCGACGCCGCGUGGGGGAUGAAGCAUCUCGGUGUGUAAACCCCUUUCGACUGGGACGAAUGCCUCGCAAGAGGAGUGACGGUACCAGUAGAAGAAGCCCCGGCUAACUACGUGCCAGCAGCCGCGGUAAGACGUAGGGGGCCAGCGUUGUUCGGAAUUACUGGGUGUAAAGGGUUCGUAGGCGGUGCGGCAAGUCGGGAGUGAAAUCUAUGGGCUUAACCCAUAGGCUGCUUCCGAAACUGCUGUGCUUGAGUGUGGGAGAGGCGCGUGGAAUUGCAGGUGUAGCGGUGAAAUGCGUAGAUAUCUGCAGGAACACCCGUGGCGAAAGCGGCGCGCUGGACCACAACUGACGCUGAGGAACGAAAGCUAGGGGAGCAAACAGGAUUAGAUACCCUGGUAGUCCUAGCCCUAAACGAUCAGGACUUGGGGUGCCACCCGUUCGGGUGUCGUCCCGGAGCUAACGCGUUAAGUCCUGCACCUGGGGAGUACGGUCGCAAGACUGAAACUCAAAGGAAUUGACGGG
rnacentral:rRNA from 1 species